rnacentral:rRNA from 1 species
AUGGAAUUAUUUAAUUUGGCUCUCUUGGCACGACAGGCCUGGAGAAUACUUCAGGAACCUCACACUUUGAGUGCGAGAAUACUCAAGGCUGCUUAUUUUCCUGAUUGCACAAUUCUUGAGGCAGAAAUUGGUUCAAGUCCCUCUCAAAUUUGGCGGUCCAUUAAGGAAGGGUGUGACCUUUUGAAACAGGGAAUUAUACGACGUAUUGGCAAUGACCAGAGUACGGACAUAUGGGCUGAUAAUUGGAUCCCAAAAGAAACAAUACCAAGACCUAUAACAUCUCUAGUGCCGAACCCCCCAAGGCUGGUGGCGGAGCUCUUGUCUCCUGCUACAGCGUCGUGGAACGAGGCAUUUGUAAGGUCGAUCUUCAUACCAAUGGAUGCUAAUGCGAUUAUGAAAAUACCCACAUGCACACGCAAUGUUGAAGAUUUUUGGGCCUGGUAUCCGGACAAAAAGGGUAAGUUUUCGGUUAGCUCGGCUUACAAAUUUAUUUUGAAAACCAAGUUGCAGAGGGAGGAAUGGCUGGAAGGCAGGGGCGGAUCAUCGAAUCAACAAGAUGAGAAAUCCCGGGUUGCUUUAUGGAAACUGAAAAUCCCUUCAAAAAUCAGAAUAUUCCUGUGGAGACUUGCCCAUCAUUCUCUACCCACGACAGAUACUCUCAAGAAGCGAAACAUGGCUGUACAAGACACUUGCCCCUUGUGCGGUUGCACUGACUCAUGGAGACACGCUCUUGUCUCCUGCACCAUGUCCAGAUGUGUAUGGGCACUACCAGAUGAUGAUACGGUUGCGCGCAUGACGAAUAAUUUGGAGCCCAAUGCGAGGCUCUGGCUUUUUGAGCUCUAUGAUGCUAUGGACCAUGCGGCAUUCGUUAAAUUGGUUGUGACGCUCUGGUCUAUUUGGUAUGCUAGGCGCAAGGCAGUCUACGAGGCCAUAUUUCAGAGUCCGCAGCAUACUGUUUCUUUCAUAAAUAACUUCAUUGUGGAACUUGGGCAAAUGCAAACCAGAGACGAAGGAAGAAGAACCCCGGGCGCGCCUUCUGUACACGCGAAUAAGUGGCUGCCUCCACCGACUGGUACUGUCAAGGUGAACGUGGAUGGGGCAGUAACUAGAGCACGCCAUGGAGGAGCGGUUGCAGCAGUAUGCAGAGAUGCGACAGGCCUAUAUCUCGGAUCUUCAGCUAUCGUUUUCCAUGGUAUAGAUGACCCCGGGGUCUUGGAGACCUAUGCGUGUCGGGAAGCCUUAUCUUUGGCGGAUGAUCUCGCAGUACAGUCUAUUUGCGUCGCCUCAGAUUGCCAGGGAGUCGUGUCUGAUAUUGAGAAAGGAACCGGAGGCACAAGUGCUGCUAUAGUGCAUGAAAUAAAAAUUCAUUGUAAUAGUUUUACUUCUUGUUUAUUCAUUCAUGAGCGUAGGAAUCAUAAUUAUGAGGCUCAUAAUCUCGCCAAGUUUGCUUGUAAUCUAGAAAUAGGUAGACAUGUUUGA